UCUGUCUUGAACCACUGUGCUCAGGGGAGAGCGCGAACGCAGUCCCCCACUACCAGAAAUUAUGCAGUCGAGAUUCCCACAUUUGGGGAGUUCGCAGACAUCUGCCCAGGGAACGUGCAAUGGUAACUGUAGACUGUAGACUCUCGUCCAACGAGAAGCCGCGAUUGUCUACAGUUUGCUUAGACCCUGGGCUAAUCGGAGGGAUGCAUUGUCUAAAGUUUAAAAUCAGGGCCAAUCAGCGCUGAGGAUUUUCCAAAGUUUCUCUUGCUCUGAAUGCUCAAUUUAUCGGGUCAGAAAGUUCAUCUGCUGUCGAGAUUAAUUCGUAUGUUAAAGUGAUUUUGUGUGGAAAGUUAUUUUUAUACUGUUAUAUUGAUGCACAGUAUGUUUUGUUCACGACAUGUUUGAAAUAUCUCACUUUUUGAGCAGUAUUCGUGAGGCUGCGCCUUCAGAAAGUACACCUGUUGUUGAGAUUUCGUGUGCAUUUUGUCUUUGUUCGUGAGGCUGCGCUGUCAGCAAGUACACCUGUCAUAGUGAUUUAGAGCGUAUUUUGUCUGUGUGCCUGACGCUGCGCUGUCAGACGUUCAUCCAUUACAGAGAUUUUGUGCGGUAAGUUAUUUUUAUUGUUACAUUAAUGCUAAGGUCACAUCAUGUUUUAAAUAUCUCAUUCUUUGUGCAGUGUUUGGUCUGUGCUGGUGACGCUGUGUCGUCAGAAAGUUCACCUGUCCUAGAGAUUUCGUGUUGUAGGUUAUUUUUAUACUGUGAUAUUACUUAUAUGUAUAUAUGGCUGCACAAAACCUGAAAAAGUUUAGCUUAUGUAUUAUUUUCAACGCUCGUGUCGGUUUGAUAGCUCCAUUCACAUAGUAAACAGUUGUUUCAUUAAAAUAUAGCAACCAUCAUGCUAAUAAAUAAAUAUCCCUUCAUAUACAGCAAUAUAUGUGACCAUGACAAUUAUUAUCAUUAGUUAUUACUAUGAGAAGUAAAGAACAUUUUAAGAUCUUAGCUGGGACAAAACAUAUGAUCCAUACCUGUACACAGUAAAAUCAUCAGAGUAAAAUUUACUCAGUUCAGAGAACAUUUGGUCCCUCUCUAAAUUGAGCAAAAUUUACUCAGCAGCAGAGUAAAGUUAAUGAGCCGAUGAUGAGUUUAAUUAAGUGAUGAUUGAGGACUGAUGAUGAACACCUGCUGUUAAUAUGCAGAAACA